rnacentral:rRNA from 1 species
GACGAACGCUGGCGGCGUGCUUAACACAUGCAAGUCGAACGGAAAGGCCCUGCUUUUGUGGGGUGCUCGAGUGGCGAACGGGUGAGUAACACGUGAGUAACCUGCCCUUGACUUUGGGAUAACUUCAGGAAACUGGGGCUAAUACCGGAUAGGAGCUCCUGCUGCAUGGUGGGGGUUGGAAAGUUUCGGCGGUUGGGGAUGGACUCGCGGCUUAUCAGCUUGUUGGUGGGGUACUGGCUUACCAAGGCUUUGACGGGUAGCCGGCCUGAGAGGGUGAACGGCCACAUUGGGACUGAGAUACGGCCCAGACUCCUACGGGAGGCAGCAGUGGGGAAUAUUGCACAAUGGGCGGAAGUCUGAUGCAGCAACGCCGCGUGCGGGAUGACGGCCUUCGGGUUGUAAACCGCUUUCGCCUGUGACGAAGCGUGAGUGACGGUAAUGGGUAAAGAAGCACCGGCUAACUACGUG